UGCUGUUAUGGUUUAUGUUCUGCUCGGCCGUCUUGUCUUAUAUUUAGCAUAGUCUGUAAUCGUGGUUGUUCAGGAUUUACCCCUCACCCCUCCCCGGGUAGUGGGGCUCAGGGAAGAGUCAGAAUUUUAGCAAGGGUGUUCACGAGGGUGUUGUCUGUCUAGUUUUCUUUUUGGGUAAGAGAUUUUAUCAGCGUGGGUGUGGUCGGGUAUUUGGCUGUCUUUUGCUUGUGCUGAACUUAGUCCUUGUUUGCAAAAUUUGCUUGUCAAGCAGUUCCAGCUUGUGAAAUUCUCUUCUAUUAGCAUGGGUGUGUUCUUAAAUCUGUACAAAAGUCCCGAGGAGUGGUGUGUGUGUGUUUGUAAUUGUUUGUGGAAACGUAUGUGUACAAAGCUUAACUGAAAGCAGAUGCCAGGAUCAUAAGUAACUUUAUCUUUAGGGAGCAAGCCUUGUUGGCUUUCCUGGUGCUGAAAAGUUGUUUGGUUUCUUUGGGGGAACCCAGGUUUGCUCUUGCCUGUGUUACAUUUGGCUCACAGUGUUCCUCUGCGUGUUGAAACUUUGAUCUUUGAUAUUGGGCCCUGUGAACACUUGAGACAAAAUGAACUGCUGUGUUUUGACAUGAAGUGGCAUGGUUUCAGAAUCUUAGGGUGUAAUACGUUACGCUAAUGCUAACAUACACUUGUUGAGCAUGCCAGUACCUGUCUUACCUGUCCAUAUGAAUUUGGGUCUUCAUGUGACUGCCAGUAUAUACUCUUACAUACGUGCUCUCUGUUUCCAUAAUCUGGAUUUAUCUACCUAGUGAGGUAUGACUGAUCAGGAAAACCAUUUCUCAGUAGUGUUAGGAGGUUUCACCACUCACAUUUGAUGAAGGGGUUUGUAAUUUUGGAACUCUGAUAUCUAUUUUUAAAUUUAAAGGCACGACUGAACAGAGAAAGGGAAAAUAUGUUUCGCUGUGUUUGGUAUUUUGUAACCUGUAAAAACAGUUCUGUUGUUUUUCAUGUCAAGUCACAUUUGUAUAUUGUUUAAGGUUUUGAUGUGUGUGGGAUUUUCCUAACUCUGCCCAUCUUUGAAUUUACUUUGUACCUGACCCCUUGAGUGUGGUAGAGAAAAGAAAGACUUGAGUGUGGUAGAGAAAAGAAAGAACCGGCUAGAAUUUUGUAUGCAGUUCUGUCUGAUGUGGUUUCAGUUUCAUAGUGUAUUGCCUUGCCAGUCAGCCAGAAUUCUCCCCUUCCUUUGUCCUGACUGUUGUAUUUAACUCCUUUGCCAGUUGAGUAAAGAUUGAGAAAUUCCUUUGAAAAUGAGCUAUACUGUCCAGUUGUCUUACUGGGUGGUGACGUGGCAGAAUGCAUGCAUGCUAGCGAACUGGCUCUGUGUCUGGGAAGGCGAACGCCCAGAACUGUGAGAUUUGUACAUCCGAGAAUCCUGGCAUUUAAUUCCUGGAGCCUCUGUGUGGUGCUGUGCCUUCCACUGUUUGCCUUCUGGUUCUGUAACUGCUGCAGAAUGUCUUCUGUGUUAUACAGUAGCGGUGGUAGUUGUUUCAGAAGAGAAAAUAUGAGUCCGACUAUCUAGCUCAAACUGUCCUCGAACUUUGGAUUGCUGGUGGCCAUGGCAGAGGAGCAGCAGGUGUCAUUGAAGUUCAAGGUGCCAGCUCACCAGGAGGCGACUCCCUGGUGGGUGAAUUUUGGAUAGCAAGUCCCUGAGACCACAGACCUUAGAAUGUGUCUCACUUCUACUGUACCUUUACAUGUUUGCUACCUUUCUCUGGUAUCUGCUAUGGUGUGAACGGAUGUGGGGAGAUUCCCACUGCCUGUAAUAUAGUGUGCUUAUCUCAUGGAAAAAUUCCAUUCUGCUGGGCAUUCUUGCCUGUGGAUUAUUGUGAAGAUGAUUCCUUCCUAAGCUGUACUGUCUGAUUGAUAAUAAUAAGUUUUAAGUUAAGAGGGUUAAUGGUUCAAGAAAUAAAUAAGGACGUGUCACACACUAGAACACAUGAGUUUAGGUUAACAAUUAAGAAAAACAACUGAGUCCUGGUAGACCAGCUAGCUUAAAUUCUUUUAACCUUAAUGUUGGAAGAUGUGUUCACAGGUUUUGGAGUGCUGAAACAAAGAUUUGAAAAUAAGAUUAUACUAGAUGUUCUUGUCAAAUAACUUCGAGGUGAAAAACUCAAGAAGACAAUCUAAAGUUUUAGAAAGACACAAGAGUUGAAUGCAGAACGCGUUAAGGUCAGGGAGCAAGAACAAAGCAGCCAAUUAUCAUUAUUUGACAUGCUUUUCUUGCUAGGAUUGGUUGAUGACCAGAAAUGAUGACUAAUUUUUUGUAUCCAUUUUUGCUCUUAAUCUCCUGAUAUAAAACAACUAAUGAUGCAUGGGUAUGCACCCUAAAGAUUUAAAGUAGAGCUGACUGAUUUUUUUUUAUAUAUAAAAGUUUAGGUUUGUGAUUCCUUUAGAUUCUUUAUAAUACUACCUUUAAAGGAAAGCAAUAAAGGAAUAGGUCCUUUCUUUGUAACUACAAAAUGCAGCCUGCCAGUAAAAGAUCAUACCUUGUUGCCCACAAAGUUAACUUAUAACUGUGAAUGGGUGUGCUUGGGUAUGAAUGUACAUGGGCUCUUGGGAUAAUUUGUUCUUUACCUGUAAAACAUAAAAUGUUUAAUGAUGUAAGGGAUAUGGAAAACAUGUUGUUUUUUUACUGUUUGUGUUGUAUUCAUUGUAAUCAUUUACAGCAUGUAACCACAUUGGAAUUCCUAUAUUGCCUGAAAAACUUUGUUGGGGUAUAUAAGCUGUAGAAAAAAGUAUACAAUAGAAAGAACACAGAAGAAUAAGGAAUAAAGAAGGAAACCCUCAAAAAAGAAUGUGAGUGUCUUUUUCCCUAACCCCCUCAGAUAAAAAAGUCUUAGUAUGUGCUGACUCCGUGGAUUGCCUUUGAGGCCUGUGCUCCUGGAAGCUGGCAGCCCAGGUGCAACACUGUUGCAACCUCCCAAUGCUGGGCAAACAUAACUGUGCUCUUUUAUAACUACUUUGUAUUUUGUGUAGUCUUUUUGUAUACAUCAAAUAUAUUUACCAAGACAAUAAAGAGGAAAAGAACAGAUGUAGGCAAUAACAGUAGAAAUCAAAUUAACAAGAUUCCUUGGGAGAGGAAAAUCCAUGAAUAAUAUUAGUAAAUGCUGAGUCCAUUACAAACAUAAGCAUAUAGAUAAAGAAAAUGCAUGAAGGCAUUUUCUGUAUUCUUUCCUUUGUGUUUUCCUGUGGAAGUGUCCUAAUAUUUGCAGGUUUCUUUCUGGUAGCAAGACAUUGAUAAAACAUCCCAAUUAGCUUUCCCUUUACCUAGUUGGAGCUGGCUUAACUAUGGCUCUGAUUGUUUUUUAAAGGUGAACGUACCCUGGAUAAGAUAGCUGGAGUGAUUACUCGGUCAGGAGAUACAAUGAACUAAAGCAGUUACUGGGGCAAGGCUAAUGUGUUAGCCACCAACCCGUGAAGGUACUAAAUGGCUUGGCACACUUUUCUGGUGUUUAUAAGUCUAUGUGAGCCUUUGAAUUGAAAUGUAAGGGAGCACUGAAGCUGUACUUUUACUUAUUGAUUGCUCUCAUUCGUGUUGGGUGUGCUUGUGUGUCCUGUGGCAUGUUUGUGUAGGUCAGAGGGCUGCCUGAGGGAGUUGGUUCUCUCUACCAUGUGGGCCCCAGGGAUCUAAGUCAGGUCAUCAGGCUUGGUGCCAAGCACAUUUCUCCUCGGAGCCAUCUCACUAAACUUAAAGCUGUAUACUUAAAUCUGUUUCAAACUGGCCAAUAUCAGUUUCUAUUUUUUUAAAGAAAUUUUUAUUUAUUUUAUUUUUAUUUCAUGUGCAUUGGUGUUUUGCCUGCAUGUAUGUCUGAGGAUGUCAGAUCCCCUGGAACUAGAGUUACACACUGUUGUGAGGUGCCUUAUGGGUGCUAGGAACUGAACCUGGGUCCUCUGCAAGAGAAGUCAGUGCUCUUAACCACGAGCUCACCUCCCCAGGCCCCAUCUCAGUUUUAUUUGAAAACUGUGUUUGUGGAAGCGACCAUGAGUGUGAGCUCAAGUGUUGUGUGUGUAGAAGUGGAGUUUUUAAGUGCAGAACAACUUGUUGGCAGGGCGACCUGGUUGUGACUUCCAUCACCCACUGAGUGCCAGGGUAGAUUCGCUUGAUCUAGCUGGUCAGGCUAAUGUCCUUCUUUGCUUUUGGAAGAAGCUGAGUUUCCCUGAUAAAGGAGGUCAAAGGUAUAUGAACAGCCGCCCAUCCCGGCUGGACUUUCAAACAAGCUCUCACAAUGGCCUGUUUCUAGAUCUAGGACCAUGGCACUUAGGGGUUCUUGCAGUAGAAGGUCUACUGAAAAGCUGGUUUCUUUGGAAGAAGAGUGAGGCUAUUGUGUUUGGAUGCAGUUAUGCACAGGAAAACGCUUAACAUGAAAACCCAAUAUUCUUUUAUUAUGGUAAUGUUAUCACUUAAGGAAAUCAAAUAGUAACUUCUAAUUAGUUUCUAAUGCUAAAGAUUCUAUUUAUUUUAAAUUAGUUUGUUAUUCAUAGAACAUUUUUUUUCCUACCCAGGAUUUGACAGCUGGAUGUAGAAUGGAAUCAAAGCUCAAUGUGUCCAGCUGGAGUUAUAGCUCAGUUGACAGAGCACUUGCCUAGGAGGUGCAAAGUGUGCUUCCCAGCACGGAGGAAAUGGCUCUGUUGUACACACCUAUAAUCCAAGCACUCGGAACCGGAGGGAGGAGGGAACCAGAAGCUCAAGGGCAGGGAGUUUGGGGCCAACCUGGGCUACAUGAGAGCAUGCCAAAAAGCAAAACAAGCGUAAUGUGUUGAACAAUGAUGAAAUGAAGAGGUUAGGAAGGGUCUGGUGCUUGUCUCAAAGGUUUAGCUAUGAUGGUAUUCUCAAAAAACUUCUGACAUCUGUAACAUUACCUAAUUAUGAAAUUUUCUUUUAUACAAUGAACUGUUCCCAAUUUGUUGUGAAGACUGGAUGUGAAUUUGUAGAUAUCUGUAUCAAAAUGUAGAAAAACUGCCAAUGAACUUCAAUGGAAAUCUGUGUGUAUGACUACAAUACAAUGUUGUUAAAUCACACUUUUUACAUUAAAGAUUACUCUCAACUUGAAAUCUUUUAAAUAAAUUAUUCUGAA